rnacentral:rRNA from 1 species
GACGAACCGAGCGAACGUUGUUCGGAAUCACUGGGCUUAAAGGGCGCGUAGGCGGGCUGCCGCGUCCGGGGUGAAAUCCUCCGGCUCAACCGGGGAAGGGCCUCGGGUACGGGCGGCCUCGAGGGGGGUAGGGGCGUGCGGAACUGUGGGUGGAGCGGUGAAAUGCGUAGAGAUCGGGAAGAACACCAAUGGCGAAGGCAGCCUCCUGGGCCAACAUUGACGCUGAGACGCGAAAGCGUGGGGAGCAAACAGG